CCGCCCUAGAGGAGCCUGUCCUAUAAUCGAUACUCCCCGCUACACCUCACCCCCCAUUGCAAAGCUUCAACCUAUAUACCGCCGUCGCCAGCUCACCUUACAAAAGCCAAACAGUGUGCAAAAUAGUUCCCCACUAAAAAGUCAGGUCAAGGUGUAGUUAAUUGGGGGGACAGCGAUGGGCUACAUUUUCUAGCAAAGAAGCCCCCAGCAAUAUGAAACAAUGCCAUAAGACGGAUUUAGCAGUAAAUAGAGCAAGAGCCGCUCAAUUGAAGCUCGCCCUGAGACGCGUACACACCGCCCGUCACCCUCCUCAGAAACCAAAAACCAAAAUAACUAAACCCCUCCCCCAAAUCUACCAGAUGAGGCAAGUCGUAACAUGGUAAGUGUACUGGAAAGUGCACUUGGCAAAAC
rnacentral:rRNA from 1 species